UGCAUCUAACACCGUAGUGGCAGGUAACUUAAUCAUUGGUUGUUCAGAUGUGUAUGCCUUGAUGGACCCUGGUGCAUCUCAUUCUUUUAUUGCUCCGAGAGCCGUGGGGAGGUUGGGUCUGAUGACUUCUGGGUUAGAGUGUCAUCUCUGGGUUAGUGGACCCAAGUGUGAUCCAUCAGUGGCAGAGUCAGUCUGCCAGUGUAGUCCUGUGUUUGUUGAGGGAAGAUGCUUGUCCGCCG
rnacentral:lncRNA from 1 species